rnacentral:lncRNA from 8 species
AUGUAUGCUUAUAGUAUGUGUGUGAGAUUGGUAUAUCUACGUGUGUGUGCACACAUUCAAAUGUGUGUCUGUGUGGGUGUUUGUGUGCAUUCAUAUGUGUGCCUGUGUGAGUGUUUGUGUGCAUUCAUGCAUGUGUGUGCGUGCACAAAUUUGUAUGUGUGUGUGUGUGUGUGUGUGUGUGUGUGUGUGUGUGUGUGUGUGUGUGUGUGUGUGUGUGUGUGUGUGUGUGUGUGUGUGUGUGUGUGUGUGUAUGCAUUCGUACGUGGGGGGUGUGUGAGAAAUUCACGUUUGUGUGUGUGUCUGCACAUGUGUGUGUCCAGUGUGUGUGUGACGUACCAGGCGUUCAGACAGAGGAGUCUUGUCUCCAUCAGGCAGAUGUUGCUCCAGAGCCAGGACGAUACAGUUGGCACAGAUGGUGGCCAGGAUCAACCACUCAAACGGAGGCCAUUCUGUAAUCUUUUUGGCGUAUUUUCUCACAAAGUUGUCCUCGCUGAAGAUGAACAGCGAGCGGUUGACGGUGAAGCAGUUCUGACGCACCGGGAUGGGGUUGUACAGGGCCAUGGUCCGGGCUCUCUGCGCCAUGGACUGCUUGUAGACCCGCUGGCCCCCGGGGCCUCCAGGCGGGCCGCCCUGCCGGCUGCCGCCGCGGCCAGGGCCUCCAGGUCCAUGCCCAUGCCCUGGUCCAUGGCCGUGGCCGCCGCCAUACCUGGACGGCAUCUCGUUUUCGAACCGCGCCAUUCUCUGGACACCAAAUCUUUACAAAGCAGCUGUAGCUGAGAAGGAGGCGAAUGCUCAGCACGACCACACAACAUUACAUCCCAUCUGCCUGCGGACUGCCCAUACACACAACUGUUUUAUUCCGCUUCUUCCACCUGCAUAGGGGGAGAGAUGCGGGGGCGGUAGCCUAUAUGGUGCGGCCUUUACAAGAUGAAGACGCCAUGUAGGCUUUGGUCUCUGUCCGUGCGUUAGUGCUAAUGUCAAGUGCGGGGGUAAAAAAAAUGCAACGUGGGGUGGGCUGGAUAGCUUGGCUUGUUGCACGACUAUCAGUGCUGCAGGCUUCACAAUUCCUCUUCAGUUCGUUUUUAGAUGUCCAAAAAAAGAAGAGCAAGGCUCUUUGGGGGUUAUUGGGGAUAUCAGAUUGGGGAUAUUCCAAGAUGAGUUAGUAUAAAUGUUUCAUGUUCUCCAUGGCUGCUCCAACGUCUUCUCCCGAACCAUUAGCACCGUGCGAUAUGUUCGUCAGAAGCUUCUUGUGCUUCGCUUGUAGAUAAAAUGUUGUAUUGUCAUCAUGACCACAGCACAAUAUUAAAAUCAACCAGAUUAUCAAAAUAAAAAAAUAAGAAAAUAAAUCCACCAAGUCUUUCCCCUCAACCGGGCAUGUUGGUCGUGGUUGCCAUGGUACGUUUCAGACACCAAAAAAUGCUGGGAAAAAGAGCUCAAAUCUAUAAUUAUUUAUUUAUUUUGCAACAUCCGCAAUGUUUGGUACACUGGCUAAUUUGUCUCCCGCCACCUCACACUCGCUUUACACGCGCGCAAAGAUGAACUGGCAUCCUUAUACACGAAAAGGAUAAAUUUGACAUUUGUUGAUUUUUCUUAUUUGCAUUCAAUAAUCAUCUUUAAUUGAAAUCCGUCGUGGUUUGUAAUGUAAUGUAGGCUAAUAUUAGCGCUGAAUCGAAUUUCCCUUAACAAUUAAAUGAUGUCCCCCUCGACACAAUGAUCAUAUUCUCUCCAUCACCUGCACAGCCGUCCAUUCAUACGUGGUCUCAUCCGAGGAGGGGACAUUUGGACGCGGGCGACAUCACCAUAGCGGAGUGGGGAGCAUCCGCCACCGCUCUGGUGUCUCGCCACCAGUCAUCGUGAUCUCCACAAGCGGGUCGAGCGCAGUGCAGAAGCCGUGAAAGUCGAACACCAACCCCGCCCCGCAGAGUGCCUCUGCCCGCUGGAAAAAACUGUGUCCUGCCCGUCCUCUUUCUCUCCUUCGUGAACAAGUGCGCUCCACGGCCUCCUCGGCUAUCCGUCCAGCGGCCCUUAGGGGAGGGGAAGAUGGAAGAAUGGAUGGAUGGAGAGGGAGGGAGGAAAUAGCACCCCUUUUUCUUUAGAAAUAGUAGAAAUGACUAGAAAUGUAAAAAACAAACAAAAAAAACCAGAUCAGAACACGAAAUCGUCUCCGUCCAGAUCAGCCAGUAUUUUGGACUAUAAGCUACUAAGCGACUAGAGCCGAUCAAUUCAGCGCUGAAUGCCUGAGAAAAUCUCUGUCCCGAAACCUGUGUGUGUAGCCAAUAUGUGUGUUGCCGCCAGGCGCUGCAGCACAUGACGCACACAGCCCCCACUCACAGACUCGCUCCUCGCUCCCCUUCGUUCAA